AUUGAACGCUGGCGGCAGGCCUAACACAUGCAAGUCGAGCGAGCGGCGGACGGGUGAGUAAUGUCUGGGGAACUGCCCGAUAGAGGGGGAUAACUACUGGAAACGGUAGCUAAUACCGCAUACCCUCGGAUGUGCCCAGAUGGGAUUAGCUAGUAGGUGGGGUAAUGGCUGACCUAGGCGACGAUCCCUAGCUGGUCUGAGAGGAUGACCAGCAACACGGGAACUGAGACACGGUCCAGACUCCUACGGGAGGCAGCAGUGGGGAAGAUUGCACAAUGGGCGCAAGCCGGAUGCAGCCAUGCCGCGUGUGUGAAGAAGGCCUUAGGGUUGUAAAGCACUUUCAGUCGGGAGGCGUUACCGGCAGAAGAAGCACCGGCUAACUCCGUGCCAGCAGCCGCGGUAAUUC
rnacentral:rRNA from 1 species